GUCCCUAUAGCUCAAAUGGAUAGAGCAUCUCACUCCUAACGAGAAGAUUCCCAGUUCGACUCUGGGUGGGGACA
rnacentral:tRNA from 1 species